CCUACGGGUGGCUGCAGUGGGGAAUUUUGGACAAUGGGCGCAAGCCUGAUCCAGCCAUGCCGCGUGAGUGAAGAAGGCCUUCGGGUUGUAAAGCUCUUUCGGCCGGGAAGAAAUCGUAUGGGUUAAUACCCUGUGCGGAUGACGGUACCGGCAUAAGAAGCACCGGCUAACUACGUGCCAGCAGCCGCGGUAAUACGUAGGGUGCGAGCGUUAAUCGGAAUUACUGGGCGUAAAGCGUGCGCAGGCGGUUUUGUAAGACAGGCGUGAAAUCCCCG
rnacentral:rRNA from 1 species